GAGCUUGGCGUAUUUUACGAACUGGGGAAGUAGCAGCAGCAGAAGUCCAGAAACGGGGAGAAAUCGAAGAAAGUGGAGGCGACCAUAAAGGGUUCUCGGGACGGUGCGGCACAGGGAUUCUGCAGGAAAUGAGGGCUGCGGGAUCUCAGAGGGAAGAGAGCAAUCAGAGGUGCCAGGCGAAAGAGCAAGAUCGAGUCACCAUGACCACCAUCCAAGCCACGAAGGAUCCCCUCCUCCGGGAUCCUACACCCAGCAAGAUCCCAGUACGCUCUCGGAGACGCCCGCCUUUCCUCACAGUCAAACCGAGCGCCCAGGACCAGGAGAACCAAGAUCCAAGGACUCUGAUGGAGAAGUCUCAGCUCAGUAUUCAACGUAACUUUGUUGACUCAGCAGGCCCCAGUUCGAAAGCCACACACCAAACAGAGAAAUCACAAAGGUCGAUGGCGAUCACUCAGCUUCGGAACCCCCUGGAGGAGCUCAGGCCUAGCCCUGGGGAACAAAAUUCGGGGCUUGGGCCCCCUCCACAAACAGAAGCUCCAGGGCCUAUAGAAUUUGUGGCUGACCCUGUAGCCCUGGCUACCAUCCUAUCAGGUGAGGGGGUGAAGAGCUGUCCAAUGGGGCGUCAGUCCAGCCUGGCUCAGAGAGUACUGGUUCGAGAGAGCCAGGGAGGUACCAUCCGGCGGGGCCAGGUUUCUCGGGCCUCUGCAUACUUGGCCCCCAGGACCCCCAUGCACCAACUAGGCCCUGCCAGGGCUUCCUGCUUUUCAAGGCUGGAGGGAUCUGGACCCCGGGGUUUGACUUUGUGUCCCCAGAGGCUGAAGGCUCUGGCUCUACCUUCAGGAUCUUUUCAUGCCUCUACUCGCCCUCAUUUACAGGAGCUCAGAAGAGAGACAAGUGGCAAGAACUGGACUUCAGUGAGCCAGGUCUCAGGAUUGCUCCUGGAAACCCCUGCGCAGCCUGCUUCUCUCUCUGAAGAACAUGAAAGGAUACCUCAUUCAGAUGAAGGAGGAGGAGCUCUCCUAGGUCUGGCCCAGCGAGUACCUUUAAGAGAGACAGCACACCCUAGGGAUGGCCUGAUGGCCUCCUCUGCUCCUUUGGCCCAGUCCAUGCCUGGCCGUGUGGUACCGCCUUCUGUCACCCAUCCGUCACCCUUUGGACGGGCUCAGCGUGUACCCUCGCCUGGCAUCCCUGCUCUGCGUCUCGCCAUUCGACCCAAAACCCAGUUCACUCCAUCCACCCCCAGAGUUCAGCAGGCCCAAUGGUUGAGUGACCUCACCCCUCAGUCCUGUCCUGAAGAGCUUGCUCUGCCUUGGGAGCAGAUUGCUGUACGGUUGUUUGACCAGGACAGUGGUGUAAGGUUGCAGGAACAGUCUGGGAAACCAGCCGUGGCAAGUCCUGGAUCACACCCGAAUGGAGCCCUCAACUUCCAGGAGCUAAAAAUGCAGCGCAUCAGUAUCCUGCAGCAGUUAUUGCGUCAGGAGGUAGAAGGGCUGGCAGUGGACAAGUAUGCCCACCUUAAUGGAAGCUGCUCUCUGGAUAUGGCUGAACUUCAGCCCCUGCUGGCUGAGAUUUCUAGGACCCUGAAUGCCCCAAAGCAUAACUCUGGAACAUCCCACCUUCCUGAACUGUCACAACACUCCAAGCUGCCAGAGCCCUGCCCUUCAGAGGAGUGUGGGGAAGCACAGCCCUGCUCUGGGGUGACAGAACCAGAGCCAGACGUGAUACAACCCUGCCCACCAAUGGAGCCAGGGCCUCCAGAGUCUUGCUCUGAGGUUAGGCCAGAGACACCAGAGUCCCCUUCCCAGAAGCAGCCUGAGAAAGCAGAGCCCUGCCCACCAGUAGAGCCUGGACCCCUUCAGCCUAGCCCCCAGGGACAGACUGUGUCCGAAGAGGCCUGUCCUACUGUAGGGUUGGGGACUUGCUGCCUGGAACCAAAAUGCCUAGAGGCCAGUCCAUGGCGCUGCUGCAGUCAGAGGGCUGCAGCAACCACCAGCCUGACCUUCUCUUCCCAACGCCCCCUUUGUGCUAGCCCCCCUAUCUGCUCACUGCAGUCUACAAGGCCCCUGACAGGCCAGGCAGGUCCUAGCAGUCUGGCCCCUCAAACACUGGCCCUGAGGCAGCGCCUCAAAGCAUGUCUCACUGCUAUCCACUGCUCCCAUGAGGCUCGACUGGACGAUGAGUGUGCCUUUUACACUAGCCGAGUCCCUUCCCCAGGCCCAACUCGGGUCUGUACCAACCCUGUGGCCACACUGCUUGAAUGGCAGGACGCCCUGUGUUUCAUUCCGGUUGGUUCUGCAGCUUCUCAGAGCUCUCCAUCCUGAGGCUUCCACCUCCAACCACUUCCACCCUUCCCAGAUCACCCCUUCCCUUUAGUCCUUAUUUAUUUGGUGUUCCCAUGGAACUGGGGCCCAACAUUCUUUUAUUAACUUUAAUAAAGUUUCUAUAGUCUUUGAAUAGCCAGCUAGUGAGUCUAAAGCAUCC
rnacentral:lncRNA from 1 species